AGCGAACGCUGGCGGUAGGCCUAACACAUGCAAGUCGAACGGCAGCACAGUAAGCGCUUGCUCUCACGGGUGGCGAGUGGCGGACGGGUGAGGCAUACAGCGGAAUCUACUUUUUCGUGGGGGAUAACGUAGGGAAACUUACGCUAAUACCGCAAACGACCUACGGGUGAAAGCAGGGGAUCUUCGGACAAUGCGAGCUUGAAUGAGCCGAGGUCGGAUUAGUUAGUUGGCGGGGUAAAGGCCCACCAAGCAAACGAUCCGUACCUGGCCUGAGAGGAGGUCGGGCAACAUGGGAACUGGAAACGGGCCCAGACUCCUACGGGAGGCAGCAGUGGGGAAUAUUGGACAAUGGGCGCAAGCCUGAUCCAGCCAGACCGCGUGGUUGAAGAAGGCCUUCGGGUGGUAAAGCCCGUUUGUUGGGAAAGAAAAGCGGCAGAUUAAAACCCCGCUGUUCUGACGGUACCCAAAGAAUAAGCACCGGCUAACUUCGUG
rnacentral:rRNA from 1 species